rnacentral:lncRNA from 1 species
CUCUUCAAAGCUGAACUGUCAUUGUCCCAGUAUAACAGCUUUCUGAAGGAGUGGCCUCCAAUCUCUAAAUUGUUUCUGCUCCAUGUGAAAGGUUUAUCUCCUGACGCUGUUCCUCUAGUUAGUCCAUCUUGUGUUCAGUGAGAGAUCCCACAAGUGCUUGUGACAUUCUCAGCACCAGCGUCUAUAAAAACCCCCUGUUGGUGCGGUUGUCAUCUUUUCUUGCUGUCCUGCUGCUGUUAUGGCCCUGCUGAGAGUGUCUUCCUACCGUAAGCUGUUUGAGGAGGAGCAUUGGAGCCAGGCUGCAGGACGCUGUGGAGUCCAGGCCCGCUUCACUGCCAGGGGUGGAGCUUCAGUGCGUGAAUGUCCCGAGCUGGAUUUUGCUGCAGCUCGUGCCCUAAACAUGGAGGGUGUGGCACGAUUUGUCAAUGAACGCUCUGUCAUUGCUGCCCUCAACGAUCGCCUGGCCGGCCUCAUCGACGUGGUUCGGUGUCUAGAAGAGGAGAAUGAAUCUCUGGAGGCUGAGAUUAUUGAGCUGGAGGAAAUACUGGAGUCAGAGCAGAUCUCCACCACCACCAUCAGCAUCAGCGGUCCUGUGGACUACAGUCUGGAGGCUGUGAUAGAGAGGCUACGGAAAGAGAAGGUACCUCUCAGAAAC